rnacentral:rRNA from 1 species
GAUGAACGCUGGCGGCGUGCCUAAUACAUGCAAGUCGAGCGAACAGACGAGGAGCUUGCUCCUCUGACGUUAGCGGCGGACGGGUGAGUCACACGUGGAUAACCUACCUAUAAGACUGGGAUCACUUCGGGAAACCGGCGCUAAUACCGGAUAAUAUCUUGAACCGCGUGGUUCGAUAGUGAGAGACGGUUUUUGUGUCACUUAUCGCUGGAUCCGCGCGGCAUGAGCUAGUUGGUAAGGUCAAGGCUUACCAAGGCAACGAUGCGUAGACGAACUGAGAGGGGGAUCGGCCACACUGGAACUGAGACAGGGACCAGACUCCUACGAGAGGCAGCAGAAGGGAACGUUCCGCAAUGGGCGGAAGCCUGACGGAGCAACGCCGCGUGAGUGAUGAAGGUCUUCGGAUCGUAAAACUGUGUUAUUAGGGAAGAACAAAUGUGUAAGUAACUAUGCACGUCUUGACGGUACCUAAUCAGAAAGCCACGGCUAACUACGUG